rnacentral:rRNA from 1 species
AUUGAACGCUGGCGGCAGGCUUAACACAUGCAAGUCGAGCGGGGUGAUGGUGCUUGCACUAUCACUUAGCGGCGGACGGGUGAGUAAUGCUUAGGAAUCUGCCUAUUAGUGGGGGACAACAUCUCGAAAGGGAUGCUAAUACCGCAUACGUCCUACGGGAGAAAGCAGGGGAUCUUUAUGACCUUGCGCUAAUAGAUGAGCCUAAGUCGGAUUAGCUAGUUGGUGGGGUAAAGGCCUACCAAGGCGACGAUCUGUAGCGGGUCUGAGAGGAUGAUCCGCCACACUGGGACUGAGACGCGGCCCAGACUCCUACGAGAGGCAGCAGUGGGGAAUAUUGGACAAUGGGGGGGACCCUGAUCCAGCCAUACCGCGUGUGUGAAGAAGGCCUUAUGGUUGUAAAGCACUUUAAGCGAGGAGGAGGCUCUUUUGGUUAAUACCCAGAAUGAGUGGACGUUACUCGCAGAAUAAGCACUGGCUAACUCUGUGCCAGCCGCCGCGGUAA